UUUAGGACACUGAUUUUCAAACUUGAAUGCACACUGGAAUCACCCGAGGAAUUUAAAAAAACACCGACACCUGGAUCCCACACAAGGACCCUGAUUUAAAUGGAUAAUCCUCACCAGCCUCAGAGUUCAUGUCUGAAAGUAUAGAGGCGGCAGAUAACCAAUGCAAGUGAACAUGGGUGAAAAUGGAUGAAAGUCCAUCUGGGCUGUCUGCAAAAUGAGAAGAUUCUAGACACUGUUUCUUAAAUACCUUGGAGGCGAGGAUCACAAAAUGCUCUCAGAAGUUUAUGAAAGCUAUGGAGUCUCCGGAAAUAUUCAGAAUUUUGCAUGUUCUGGAUGAAGCCUUCCACCAUUUUAAAGCUCCUUUUAUGGAUAUUUCUGGUUUUGGUCUCAGAUUUUCAUUCUCCAAACAUUCUCUUUAGAUGACCACAUUCACUUUCAAGUAUUCAUGCCAAAUAAAUCUUCAUUUCCAGCCCAGACCUCCCUCCAAACUCUUGGUUUGUUUAGUCACUUGCAACACAGAUUAUUCAUCCAGAUUUCCAUGGGCAUCUCAAAAUCAACACAUCCAAAAUGAAGUUAUCAUCCCUGAUAAUCCUCCUAGCUCCUGUCCCAUUCAUCUCCCUCCCAUCUCUCACCCAUAAAGAAUUAACUACUGAUGUUUCUCACUAACCAACCCAUAAUAAUGACCUGCAUUAAUUAAUCCAUGUGCAAUUCAGAAUUACUUACAUUCAUUUAUCCAUGUGAUAUUUUCACUCAUUAAUCACCAUCGUCUGCAUAUGUAAACAGGAACAACAACAUCCACCUAUCCCAGCAGGGGUUUUGCAAUUACUUUAAAGCCUUUUCAAAUAUAUUUUUGUGUGAUUAAAAUGAUGGAGAUAUUUCAAAUGAAUUCAAGUAUAAAAUGCAAAAUAUUCCAACUUCAUAAACUGUUUACUUCUGGCUUAGAAAAUGUUAAUAUUUUUACUCAACCCAUCUGGCUCUGGAGAUGCUGUGUGUGCUUGAUAAUUGUAUGUGAAAAUUAUUAUUUGCAUCUUUAAA
rnacentral:lncRNA from 1 species